CUACGGGUCGCUGCAGUGUGGAAUAUUGGACAAUGGGGGAAACCCUGAUCCAGCAAUGCCGCGUGUGUGAAGAAGGCCUGCGGGUUGUAAAGCACUUUCGGUUGGGAGGACUGCUUCUAGCACUAAUAUUGUUGGAAGUUGACGUUACCUUCAGAAGAAGCACCGGCUAACUCCGUGCCAGCAGGCCGCGGUAAUACGGAGGGUGCAAGCGUUAAUCGGAAUUACUGGGCGUAAAGUGCGCGUAGGCGGCUAGAUCAGUCGGGUGUGAAAGCCCCGGGCUUAACCUGGGAACUGCAUCCGAUACUGUCUAGCUUGAGUACAGGAGAGGAGAGUGGAAUUCCACAUGUAGCGGUGAAAUGCGUAGAUAUGUGGAGGAACACCAAUGGCGAAGGCAGCUCUCUGGCCUGAUACUGACGCUGAGGUGCGAAAGCGUGGGGAGCAAACAGGAUUAGAUACCCCGGUAGUC
rnacentral:rRNA from 1 species